rnacentral:rRNA from 1 species
UACGGAGGGUGCAAGCGUUAUCCGGAUUCACUGGGUUUAAAGGGUGCGUAGGUGGGCAGGUAAGUCAGUGGUGAAAUCUCCGGACUUAACUCGGAAACUGCCAUUGAUACUAUCUUUCUUGAAUACCGUGGAGGUCAGCGGAAUAUGUCAUGUAGCGGUGAAAUGCUUAGAUAUGACAUAGAACACCAAUUGCGAAGGCAGCUGGCUACACGAAUAUUGACACUGAUGCACGAAAGCGUGGGGAUCAAACAGG